UUGACCAGCCAUAAGAACCUUAAGGAAAAGUGGAGGCGAAUUCUCCCACUUCCCUGACAGUUUUGCUGUCACCAGCAAGAUCCCCACAGGCUAGCAAGUUGCCUUCUCUGGCUGGAACAACUGCUUCUUCCCUGGGGCCACUGCAGAUGAGGAGAUCCCGGGUCUCCUGAUGAACGCUGGCAAAAGGAGAUUGGAUCUACAUCAAGGUCUUUAAAAGAAAAAAUGUACUGUCACCUUGCUUGCAAGGACCUUAUGAAGUCCUACUGACCACCUACACUGCCAUCAAAAUGAAGGAAAAAUCUUCCUGGAUCCAUGCAAGCCGCGACAAAAUAGACCCAGGACAUCGCUCUCAAGACAACUGGGAGACAGUCACCACAGGCAACCUUAAAUUAAGGAUUUCCAGGGCCAAUUCUCAGGCCCCAGAAGCAGCUGACAUCACAAAGUAGACAGCUUUUCCAAUAUCACGGAUCAAGAAAACUUGCUUUCACCUAUUUCCUCCCCUUUGCAUCUAAAAGUUCCCUAGACACACACACACACACACACACACACACCUAUUAGCAUAUAUAUAUAUUCCUUUAAUCAUUUAUUAGAAAGCUGACUGGAGGUGCCAGUCUCUAUCCACCCUACUUCCCCUCUCUAAGUCUCCACUAUCGGCUCUUUUCCAACCUGUGUCUUGCUUUUACUAACCCUCUCUUUUUCAACAGGUUGAGCACAGACCAAACACCCCUUUAUGCUGGUUUACCAAGUCUUGGCCAUGCUAACUAAUCAGUCUAACUGCUGGUUAUAUCAACAGCUAGAUAGUGCAAAAGAACCUGAGCUAGUCUUUCUUCCUGCCGAAGUGAACACCUGGUGGAGAUGGAUGAACAACAUCGCAUGGUUUCCUGACAAGGAAAACUUCACUCUGCCUCUUCUCCUGCCACCAGCUCAGCUUUUUAUAUGUGGAACUUCCAGGGAAGUUUCAGAAGAGGGAAUUGAUGGGGUUCAGGGCAGGCCGCCCCAAGAUUCGCCACUCUGGUAUGUGGAUUAUUUCGAGCUGAAGACAAUAAAGGCUCAGACUCAGCAAGAACAUUCAACCUUUCCUCCAUAACUGCCCCAAAGAAAUUUAAAAUAAAAGCCUGUCCCCAGGACAGGCCAUCACCAUAGA